CAGCAUGCACCGGGGCUUCUCGCCGUCGACUUCCUGCCGUCGCUUCUUCUUCGUCUGGUUUGUUGACAAACUCCAACGACAGUGAGAGCGGCGUCUGCCGCCGCCUACCGGAGUUCCCUCUCGGCAGGGAUCUCCCUUUGGCAGCUGCCGUGCCCCUCCGGCGACGUGGACGCGUGGCCGGACAGGACGCCCCGCCUCUCCACCCAUCCACCUUAUCGACCCGCCGCACAGCACUGGUGCGGGGGCUGCCUGCGACCUGAUACCUCACAUCGCCGCGGAGAAGUCGGUCCCGGCUGAGAUAGAGCUCCCCACCUCUGCUGUGCCCGUGGCUAUACCCCGGAGUUAUCACGCACCAGAUGCUCAGCGGUUGCAUAAUGCACACAGGAUGUGAUCACUGGCUCCAUAUCUGACGGUGCAGCACCGCAGAGCUCGGCGUGCUCUUUUGACAGGUGCUGUAGUAGCAAUUUUCGUGGUACUUUGUGUUUUGAGCUGUCAAUUUUGUGUGCGAGAGGGAAUGUUUUCAUGCUUGUUUUACACCCAAAGAUGAACCAAAACCCCCCAACAAAACCCCCCAAAUAUUCUUAAGCCUUUUCAGCCCACGAACCGAACAGAAGCAAUUUCGUCUCACCCUGAACCCCGGUCUCAUUAAAACACAACUCGUUU
rnacentral:lncRNA from 1 species